CAUAUAUAAAGAUUUAUCUCAAGGAAAUGGCUCAAAUGGUUGUUGAGGCUGUCAAGUCCCAAAUCCAGGGACCAGGCAUCAGGCUGGAGGCUUCUCCUAACUCAUGUGGUUGCAGGGGCUGAUGAAUCCCAAACCUCCAGGUGAGAUAGCAGGUUGCUGGCCCACGGGGCUGCAAAGGCAGUAAAUCACAGAAUUGGCAGGGCAGAUAGCGGGUUGCUGGCUCAAAUCCCAAGAACAGGAGAUCAGAUGAUGAUGAGCCAGAUGUAGGAUCCACAGCAAGAGCAAGUUUUGCCAGAAUGGUAAAUCAAAAUGGUAUAUCAAAGGUCAUACCAUCAAGGAAACUACCCAUACAUCAAAUACUUGAGUAAGGGUGUGACUUGAGUAAGAAUGUGUCUUAACCAACGCCUUUUAGUAAGUGUGUGACUCAGGAUACACCCCACACUAAUCCUACCCUGUUAGCAUAUAGAGGCUUCAGGAUUUAUAACACAUAAAAUGGAGGAUAAUUACACAACACCACAAGAUGGAGGACAAUCACACAAUACUGGGAAUCAUGGCCUAGCCAAGUUGGCAUAUAACAUUAACCAUCACAGCUGCCACUUCUCAUUACUGCCCACUGCUUGGUCUUCAUAAGGCCUCUCCUUCCAGGCUGACAUAGGCAAGAGGCGUGGGUGAGGCACUGCUCAGGCCAAGAGGAUGCUGCGGGGGUUCUGGUGUGUUUUUGUUGGACUAGGCAGAAACUGAGCUUCAACUUUCUGAAAGACAGUACUUUCUCCCAUUAGAUUGCAAGCCCAGGAGAUUUAAACGCUUUCUUGGUAAGCCUCAAUGAGAAGUUUAACCAGAUAAAUGCAAAUGAAGCAAACUUCUCUGCCCGGCUGUCUGCUCUGAGAGCCUGAGCUGUGUGGCAAUAUCAAUAGACUCCCUUGACUCUGGCUUCUGGUUGGGGUUGGCCAAUAGGGAGCCCCCAUUUGGACAUUGGAGGGAGUGAGGAAGGUCAGGGUAUGUUUUCCCUGACUCCCUCCCUGUGAGGUCACCUCAGGCUUGCUGCAUCCCUUGCCCUAAGUAACUGCUCUUCUAAAAGUGAUUCUCUGCACAGGACUCUUUCCUUUUGAUUUCCAGUAACUGUUCCCUUGUCCUUUUGGGCCCAGGUAUGGUAAUCACUCUAUAGUUACUAACCUUGGGUUACUCUACUGUCCACACUUAUGUAAAUAGUAGCUUUGUAAAUCUUCAAAUUAUUCAAAGUGGAGUGUGCCAUCUGUUUGCUGACGGGACUCUUACUGAUACACUCACCUAGACUGAAAUGAUAUUAAAAAGUUUAAAAGGAAUCUUAGCCAGAAAUUAUUUGGUUUCAAAAACCAGAGACCUACUCCGACUAUGAAAGAAAAGAGGGUUGACUGAAAGGACAUACUAAAAACCAAACCAAAUCUAUUGCCGUCAGUCAAUUCUGACUCAUAGCAGCCCAGAGGACAAAGUAGAACUGCCCCACGGGGCUUCCAAGGCUGUAAAUCUUUACGGAAGCAGACUACCACAUCUUCCUCCUGCAGAAUGGCUGGCCUCAAGAGGUCCUGUGAGCUUCUGCUCUCCGUCAGGACUCUACCCAGCUGCCGUGUGAACAAGCUGGAGCUAGCUGCUAAACGGCAAAGGAUCAUUUGGCCCAGUUAGCCCUGUCACUCCUGUUGCUCCAGGUGACAGCCAUGUAACACCCAGAAGCAGAGCUCCUUAGUGGACCUGUAGCUGACCACAGAUGGAUGAGAGAACCCAGCAAAGACCAGAAGAAUGUAGCUGGUCCCACCCUAAACUGCUGACCCACAGCGUCAUAAGCUAAAUAAAUGGUGACUAAGUUUUGGGUUUGCUUGCUUUGUGGCCAUAGUUAACUAACACAUCACUCAAAAUGUUCAGAUUUUAAGAGUGUAUGGCAUCACGAAUUUACACUUUUAUACAAAUUUGGAGCUCCAAAGUCAUAGCAAAAAGAGAUACUCUAGGGGAAAACAAAGCAAACAAACAAAAUAAAACCAGAAAAUAACCAUAGCCAGGCUCAUGGAUAAACAUCUCCACAAAUGGGAUAUCUACUGGGAUCCAGCACUGGAAGCAGCGAGAAGUCUCAGGGAGUUUGACCUCUGCAGAGUAAAGGGAAUUAAAGAGUUCCACUGGGUACAGGGAACUAAAGCCCAUUUACUGCUUGAAGCCAGGGUUUGGGUGGACUUGGAGGACACCCUCCCUUCUGCUAGCCUGUUAAGGGAGGCUUAAAAAUAAUCCUCAGGUAUUACCAGUGCAAUCAGGCACUCUCUUCCUCACCCCCUACCAACUUGCUGAAACCAACGGUCUAGUCUCAGUCCUCAUUUUACUUAACUGAAUUCGAUAGAGGACUCUGCUAGACUUUCUUCUUUUCUGUGGGAGGACACAACACUUUCCUGGUUGGCCUCCCACGUCACUGGCCAUUUCUUUUCUCAGUUCCCUUUUUGAUGAUUCUUCUCUUCUUCCCAAACUCUUAGAAUUGAAGAGUCGUAGGAUUCAGUCCUCGCUUUUCUCUAUUCAUAGUUACUCCUUUGGUGAGCUCAUUCAUGCUCAUGGCUUUAAAUAUCAUCUGUAUCUUGACAACUUCCCACUUAAAUCUCCAACUCAACUCUCCAAACUCCAGGCUCGUAUAGCCAAUGGCCUACUUAAUAUUGCCACUUGGAUGUAUAAUAGAAAUCUCAAACUCAAAUGAGCUCCUGAUCUCCCCCUGCUCUAUUAUCUGUAGGAUUCAUGAACUUGUAUGCCUUCAACAGCACAACUUUGAAAAUGGCAAAGCCAAAAGUGACAGAAUUAUAAGGAGAAAUCAACGAAUCAACAAUCAUACUGCAGAUUACUGAGAUCAAGUAAAAACACAGUGAGAAUUGAAUUUAAUAAUAUUAAAUAAUGCAAUAAUAUUUGAACAACAUUUUACUAGAUAUGUAGAAGAAACGUCCUUCUAUCCAACAGUAGAUUCAAAUGCUUUUUUAAAAAAUCCAAACUGUUGACACAAAGGAAGUCUCAGUAAAUGAGAAAGGCUAUCAUAAAGACCAGGUUCACUGACUACAGCGUAAUUAAAUUAGAAAUCAACAAUGAAAAGAAGUCAAAAACAACAAAAAAACUACAACAUACGUUUGGAAACUUUGUAUCUACUCGACAGCAACUCAAAACAACAGUGGGUACCUCACAGUUUAAAGAGAAAUUCACAAAGGAAAUGAUAAAACAUUUAGAAGUAAAUGGCAAAGAAAGGAUCUUAGAUCACAAUCUGUGGGAGCUGGUCCAGGAAAAAAAAAAGGAUAAUUUUUAGAUAACUGGAAAUCUUUGCAUAAGGUCUGUAUUUUAGAUAAUAGCACUGUAUUAACGUUAAAUUUCCUGAUCUUGAUAAUUGUACUGUGUGGUGAAUGAAUGUCUUUGUGCUUUGGAAAUUCAUGCCAAAAUAUUUAGGGAUAAAGGGGAAUGAAAUCUGAAACUUAUUCUCAAAUGGAUCACAUAAUAAUAAUAUCCAUACAGAAAUAAAGCAAACGUGACCAAAUGUUACCCUCCAAAAUGAGUGAAUCUGGGUGAAGGGUAGACAGGAGUUCCUUACACUAUUCUUCAAAUUUUUGUUUGCUUGAAAUUUUAUCAAAAUAAAAAUUGAAAAAACAAAACAAAAAAACCUCACGAGGUACAGCUAAAACUAAAGAAGACUUGGUUUAAAAUCUAAAUUGCUCUGUUUUUAAAAAGGAGGGUGAGAACUGUUGCACAACUUGAAUGUAAUCAGUGUCACUGAAUUGUACAUGUAGAAAUUGUUGAAUUGGUGUAUGUGUUGCUGCAUAUAUUUACAACAACAACAACCACAACAAAAAGGAUAGUGAUUUUCCAGCCUUAAUUUCCCAUCUGAAGUUCCCUGUUUCACUGAUUGGACAAAACAAAAACCUGUUGUGUGACAAAACCAUGUAUUCUGCAACUCAGGAAAAGUUGACCAUGAUGCCUGUUGUAUAUAAGACGGCAUCUCGUGGUUCCUGCUCCACUCAUUAGGGAUUGCCUUGGGGAUAAACAUAGACCAGUGACUAAACAAUGAUGUCACACAAUUGUUUUAAAUAAAUGAACCAAAAAGGCAACUGUGCUACAUUCCAACUAGGUCAUACAAUCAUAGUUAAGGAGCUUUGACCCUGGGAUUUCUCUAAGCCUUUUAUAAUACUUUGUUUUGGCUCCUCUCUCCACGAACCAUAAUUCAAAACAGAGAAACCUGACCUCCUUUAAAAUAUUUCCUGAAAAAUCUGCCUCUUAACUUCAGAAGAGUGUUGAAGUGUUAACACAUUACUGAGAGAUUGUUUCCAGACGUGCAGCAGUGUGUAGAAAGGCACUAUGAUAGGGGACAAGAGCAGGAAUAUGGUGAAACACUGUGGGAUCUCCAAGGCGGAAGAGUGAGGGAGGAAGGAGCAAAGACAAGAUUGAGGAGACGGGGGAUCAACAUGUCAUUUUGAGAAGAGCCUUAAGAAUAGGUUCGGGAAAAAUCUACCAUGAGAUCUCCUGAUUGUCAGAUAAACCUACUGAAUGAAUAAAGAGUCAGUUUUAGACUGGGGGCCUCUGAAGUGUUGCACGGUGGAGGGUAUUGCUAGCGAUGGAGAGAAGAACACAAAUCCUGCAUGUGUGAUGUCACUGCUUUCUCAUUCAGUGAACCGCAGUGGGUGGGAUGCGGAGAGCAUGUGGAUUAUUUAGGGACUGUUAUAGAUUGAAUUCUGUGCCUCCAAAAGAUAUGUUGAAGUCCUAACCCAUGACCUUAUUUGGAAAUAGGGUCUUUGAGGAUGCUAUCAAUUAAUAAGAGGCCGUACUGGGGUGGGUGGGUCCUAAUCCAAGCUGAGUGAUGUCCUUAUAAGAGAGAAGAGACAGAGAUCCAGGCGGAGAAAAGAUGGCCACGUGAAGAUGCAUCCACAUGCCAAGGAAUGCCUGGGGUUACCAGAAGCUGGGAGAAAGAGGAAAGGAUCUUCCACUAGAGCCUUCAGAAAGAACAUGGUCCUGCUGACAGUCUGAAUUCAGACUUCUAGCCUCCAGAACUAUCAGAUAGUACAUUUCUGUUCUUAUAAGCCACCCAGUUUAUGGUAUUUUGUGACGGCAGCCCUUACCUAUUUUGUAGCAGAUUCCCUUUGGGGACCUCCUCUGGGACAUUGUCCUCCCCAGCCCAUCAGAGUCCCAGUCUUGUCCUGAUUUACUUGCUAAACACAUAGCAGCCUUUGAGUCAAUGGCACUCACGGCACAUGGACAGCCAAAAGCAGAUCCAGCAGAAGCAUCUGCCACUUCUAAAAGUUAGGUUUUCAAUGAAUUCUCCAUCUCUCCUUUUGAUGUCAAAGUCUAUUUUAAUUAAAAACCACUUCAGAAGACACGACAGGGGACCCAUUUCAGAAGGAUACAUUUUGUUACUGGCAAGUGUCGAGGUUCAGGAACUACUGGCAAAUUUCUAAGCCAGGAGGGUCCAGCCUUGGCUCCCAUUUCACCUGAUCAAACCCCUAUCAUACCUGCUUCCUCCAGAAAACCUUUCCAGACUGGAUGGAUCAGGCUGAGAACUCCUAAUCUAGCAGACAUCUGGGUGAUUACCUCUUUCUAAUCUUGCUCAUCUACAGUUAUCAGCUUUGAAGGAAAAAAAAAAAUCUGGGCUGGAUGAAAAUAAAAAAAUAUCUCAUAUGAGCAAUCAGUGAGGGCUCUAGUGGAAUUUUUACAACCAGAGAAGGUUACUGCUAGAAGAUAUAAGUUUUCAAAAGUUUUCAAUGAGCACAAAACUUUAAAAAAUGGCCAAAUAACAAUAACAACAAGAAGAGCAGAAUUCCUCACCUCUACCCUCCCCCAAGUGUGCCACUGAAGCCCAUUUAGUGAAGACGAUGAGGCUCAGAAAAAUUAAGAGCCAUACUCCAGGGAGUCCAGCUAUUUGUGACAGUGCUGGGACCACAGCCCUUUCCCCCACAGAAAUGUUUACUCAUUGCUCUGGAAGUCACUGCAUCACAAGAAAGGAAUGGCAGGGACGGGUCUCAGCCUCCAGUAAUUUUGAAUGUAAGAAGGAAACUGUCAGAGUCAGUGUACACAAAAAUUUUUUUCAAGCCCUCUGAGAAUGGGCAGCCAGGCUUUGCAGCAUCAUUUGUAUUAAAAUGCAACAGGCCGUGCCUUGAGGAUUUUAGGCCAACCGCCCCCAGCCCGGACACCUCCGUAACAUGAGGUACAGGCUACAGAGACAGCGCAAGAAACCCAACACGAACGAGGCUAGAGAUGCAGGAUGUGUGUAUUCUUAGGAACCCACAGACAGAUCCCAUGACAAUGCCAGCCUUUUCUACUCUGGCCAGGGCUUAAAUUAGGCGUGCCAUCACAAAUGCUUGGUUUGGCAUGGGUUUUAUUCGUUUAUUUUUUUCCCAGGAAGAAUAAGGAAAAAGGGAGAAUGAAGUAGGCCACUCUCCACAUAAUGACAUGGCUAUAUUUGGUUAUAUUUAUAUACUCUUUUAAAAUUGCACAAUUCACUCACAUACUGCAAAUUAAAGAUAGUUUACAAUAACUCUGAGAGAGAACAAUAAGAACAAUAUUAUCCUUAAUCCACGAAUGAGGAAAGUGAGGGCAGAGAGGUCGUGUGGUUUGCCCAAGACCACUCCAUCAGUUGGUGACUGUGACCAUCCAUAGUGACUGAGGGAGGAACACACUGUUUUAUUUUCCGUCAGACUCGACUGGAUUCAGGCUCCAUCCUCAGCGAAUGUGUCCUAGACCCAAACACAGGAAUUGUUCUAAUUUGGAGGAGUGGAAUAUAGUGGUCUUUCCCAAAGUGUGGUGCCGUGAGUUGGAGAGAAGAAAGAAAACACAGACAGAUGAGAACAGAUAUCAUGGAAUACCCUCUGAUCUGUGUGCUCUUCAGAAUUGUUUAUAGAUCAUUUAUAUUCAAAUAUAGACAGAUUCGCUUUUGGUACAUAAAUUCUGGCACCACAGAUUUACAUAUCCAUUGGAACCUAUUUGCUGGUUGAAACUACUGAAGACUUUCAAGUCAGUUUAUUUCACUCAUGGAACAAUGCUGAAAAACUUUGAAAAUGAAGAGUGCACGUGGAAAGGAAAGAUUUGUAGCAGUGCCAAAGCCAUUCCCAGGAGUGAGAGGACUAACUUGGGAGCUGUCAGGAGAGAUCAGCUCACCCAGUGAGAAGCGGGUUGAAGGGAGGGAGGGAGCUCUGUCUGUUAAGGACAAAGCUGGGCAUGGAGGUCCAAGUUUUCAAGCUCGCCUCUUCCCAGGGAACCACCCAUAAAGCCCCACACCCCUUUCCGUCUUGUUUAAAAGAAGCAGAACGCUACCUUUGGCACAAGAGUCCUAUUUUCGGCUGCAUUACUGGAGGCUGAAACACUGAUGCUCGAAAGUACUUAGAGAGAUUUUUCAGCUGCUUGUCUGAGCACUCCUGGAAUUUCUUUAAAAUGAAGAGGAGUGAGUAACUCUGAGUCUCAUUUCUGCACAGAGGGCUAGGGCAAGGCCAAGGCACAACCUGCCAACAAUGCAGAAUUUGUAAAGCAAAUCAAGGGAACAAGCUAUUACUUUUUAGAUCAAAACCUGCUGAAGAUUAACAGGGUUAAUCCCAGGGUUGUUCACAUGCCUGUUUCAACUAUACCAGUAGCUUCAGGAAAUAGCCAGGUGGAGCAGCCCACAAGAAAGCUAGCAUCAUCCACAAAGGAUGCUAUGGCUCAGGCAGAACCAAACUUGGUUAAAAAUGAUUUUCAGAUAAGGAGUCACUUCCCACUCAGAGAGAGUUUUCUCACCACCACAGAAAGCAAUCCUGGGAACUUCUGGUUCUUACAAUAGGCACGAAUAUCAAAGGACAAACAAGGGCUUUGGAAACAUGGAAUUCCUUUUUUUUUUUAUGACCUAUAAUAGAAACCCCUGGCAACAUUCCUGAGGAGUGCACACUGCCUGGUGUGCAUGAAGCUGGAAAUCUGUCUUCGAUGAGGAGCUGACUAGCGCAUCGGCUGUGGGCCAAUCAUUUAAUUUGGAAUUGGUAACUCACAGUCAAAGCCAUGAUUACUGUGAUUCAACAGAAGUGAGCCUGCCUGGGCAUGGGACCCAAGGGUUAUAAUUUUAAGGAUUUAUUCCUUGGGAGUGGAGGUAAAAUGAUUAUGGAAGUAAAGCAUCCAAGAUUUGAAUGCCUUCAAGCAGUGAGUUUUACCAGGGCCCCCACAUCUUUCAACAAGCCCUUUGGCUUUCCAGUGGGCCCGAGCAGUCUCUGAAUGGUGCAAAUAGGUAAUGCACUCAGCUGGCAACUGAAAGGUUGGGAGUUCGAAUUUACCCAGACGUACCUCAGAAGAAUGACCUGGUGAUCUACUUCCAAAAAAUGAACUACUGAAAGCCCCAUGGAGCAUAGUUAGUUCUACUCUGACACUCAUGAGCUUGUUGUGAGUCAAACUGACUCGAUGGCAAGUAGUUUUGGGGAAGUACCCCAGCUUGGCUCAGAGGUAUAGAAGCAGGACUUGGGUGAUUCAGCUGCUUAUCCAGGCCAUAUAAGGUGAGAACUGGCAGAAAUCUAAGUAAUGAUGUUUUUGUUCACCAUUGUCUCACCAGAGCAAUUGUGUAGAAACAUUUAUGUUCUCGUCCUAUGCUUAAAAUGGGUUUCCAUUGCUCCAGACUAAAAGCCCAGACCCUCAACAGCACUUAUACAUCCCAAUGUGAUCCAGCCCUGCCUACCACUCCGGAUCCUCGCUUCCCUCAUUCCCUUUAAUCAGCCACUUUAUUUCAGUUCCUCCAAUGACCAAGCUCUUUCUCUCUGAAGCACUCUUUUACCCCUCUUUACCUUUUUUUUUUUUUUACCUUUUAAUUCCUAUUUUUCUUUCAAAGCUCAGUUUAAAUGUCACUUCCUCUGAGAAGCAUUCCCUGAAUCUUCCCCCCCCACACCCCCAUUACCCGUUGCCAUAGACUAGAUUGAAACUCACAGCGACCCUAUAGGACAGAAUAGAACUGCCCCACAGGGUUUCCAAUGCUGUAAUCUUUACAGAAGCAGACUGCCACAUCUUUUUCCUGCAGAGUGGCUGGUGGGUUUGAACUUCUGACUUUUUGGUUAGUGCCGAGUGCUUAACCAUUGCACCUUCAAGGCGCCUUCCAAAAAAAAAAAAAAAAAACCCCAUUAGGUCAGAUAAAUUCUCUUGUUAUCUUCUUGCAGGCCUUUCUAUUCUUUUUCUGCAGGGCCUUUAUCACGGUUGAUAAUAACGUACUUAUUUGUUUGCUUAUUGGAUUAAAGCCAGUCUCUCACAAAAUCAUUUUAGAAAAAGAAAAGAAAAAACAGUUGCCAUCCAGUUGAUUCCAGGUCAUGGUGGCCCCAUGUGUGCAGAGUAUAACUGCUCCAUAGGGUUUUCAUGGUUGUGGCUUUUUGGAAACAGAUCGUAGGCCUUUCUUCCAAAAUACCUCUGGGUGGGUUCAAACCAUCAAACUUUCAGUUAGUAAUCAAGCACUUAACCAUUUGUGCCACCCAGGGAUAGGCAGCAUCUAUCUGUUUCACUUACCAUUGUAUCUCUGAUGGCUACCAUAAUGCCUGGCACAUGGCAGGCACAUUAUACUUCUGAAUGAGUGAAUGGAUGGUCUCAGUGAUCUCAUAAGGAUAAUGUAAAAUAGAAGAGAGCAACCUUUCUAGAAAUCCAAAACCCUGCUCUGAUCUAUACUUGCAGGCCUUAUUUGGUCAAUGGCCAGUGACCAAACAAUUAGACAAACAACUCCUUUAGGAAGAAUGUUAACCCUCUUAAUAAAAUAAACUCAUUCUUCUCGCUAAAUUUGAUCAUUCAGAACACAGGGGGUAUUUGACAAGAGAAGAACCCCCACACUGUCCCAGUCUUUUUCCUUAAGAAUAGACCAUGGCUUGAACACACUCUACCACUGGCCCCAUCUCUGGGGAGUGGACAGGCCAAAGCAAGAGAGUGUUGUGGAGGCUGAUCUGCUUGUGGGAUCCAACACAAGUAGAUACUUAAGACAUAUGCUGACACUGGGAUUAUGUCUCCUCAGUGUACUGGAGGCAAAUCCUCCUGCUUUAAAAAAUAAAGCACUCAUACAGAACCAAGAAUGUCACUGAGUCAAUAGCUCUAACCCUUUCUCAGUCUGCCUAAGAGGCCCUGGGUCAAAUUUACCUCCCCCACAUGACAGAGCUAAGGACAACAGGUUAGAGAUUACCAUCUCAGUCAACCCAACUGGCAUUGGUCAAGUACCUACUGUGUGUAGUAGGAGCUUGGGAAAUAACAGAACGUGCAGAACACAGAAGGCUACUGACCUGUCUGUGUUGACAGGGAAGAGUAAAACAGAGAAUAAUUCCAGGAUUACAUAAAAACAAAAGCAUAGUGGUAUAGUAGACACUGUUCCUGAGUAGUGAAUUUCUUCUGCAUUAAGCAAGAGAUCCUUAUGGGCUGGACUAAAUCAGAAAGUCUUCCUGGAGGAGGUAAGUUUGAGCUUUGAAGAAAAAGAAAUUCUUUUGGAUUAUAAAAGAGCUGAGCUGUAUCUUGCCCACGGUAAGUACAUUGCCUGGAGAUGAGAGACUGUGUUAGAGGAGUUGUGAUCUGGAAUGUCUCCACUUAACCAUUUUGGGAAAAAUAAGUCCCUCUGUAGCAUCUUUAACAUGCUGUCCACCAUCUGUGUGAUGGGAGUGAAGCUUUGUUCUUUUCAACUGGGUGUUUGGAUGUGAUACAGUCCCAGUGCCUCUCUGAUUCUCUCACUAAUCCAGGCUCCAACUGGUAAUCACUUUGUUCUACUAGCUGAAACUGGACCAAAAAAAAAAAAAAAUCUUAUAAUUUGUACUGUGUACUUUUGCUUACACUUAUCUUUUUUAGUGUCUGAAUUAAUCUCCAUGCAGACACAAGCAAGUCCCAGAGAUUUGUAAACAGCUAUGUCCACGAAGCUACUGUUCACCUAGUAAAGAUGCAAAAAUAAAAGACACAGAGCAUAACACAGCAGCAAUUAUUUCCCACAAGCAAUCAGUGACUGGAAGUAAAACUAAAGCAUCUUCAGCUAUAACAGCAUCUCUUUCAAGGCAAGCUGUUUCCCCAGGGAAGCUGUGCAGCUUUGAGGAAAGGCAGGACAAUAAAAGAUCAAGGAUGUCUUUCCAGGCUGCAAACUGAGCAGCUGACGCCUUGAAGUUUGGUCUGCUUUUGACCUCUUUAAAAGCCAGGAUAGCUGCACAGUGGCCACAUUACAUUUUCUAUAAGCUGGCUGAGCGACAUUUUUCUUAAGUCACAAAUCUCAAGUGUUUGUAGAGAACAGGCAGAGAGGAACGCCCUGAAGACCAGGGCCCUGUCUCAGCGGGUGUCACUCAAGCCUGUCAUCCCCUGAGCGGUUUUCUGCAUUUCUCUUCCGCCUUUCCCCGUCUGCUGUACUCUGGAAGUCACGGUCCGUGCUCCCUUCACCUCCCGUGGUUUCUGCACCUUCAUUUCCAAAGGUCAGUGAAGAUAGUAAUGGAGCUGUGCAAACGGGCAACUCCGGGAGCCUGGUUAUCCUCCUCUCAUUUCCCCCGAAGUGUCUCACAGUUAGACCUUCGAACUGAUUCCAGCAACACUGAAGUCAGAGCUAAAGUUAAAGACAAACCGGAUUUGGUUUCAGAGGUGGUUACUUGUUAUUUUCACCUCCAGAUAGGAGACUUCUUCUUCCCAGAAGAUAAAAUAAUUGAGAAGAAGUAGCCUUCGGUGAGUGACUCUGCAAACAGGUGGGUAAGCUCUGGUUGAGUGAGGGAGAAGUCCUCCUUGUGAGCACGACCACCAUCUCCUGCAAGCAGAGCCUGGAGAAAUUUGGCCUGUCUGUUGUGGUUUUCCCGGUGAGGGAAAGAAUGUCCGGGGAACUCUAUUAAUGACCAUUACCAGCGGACCUUGGGUUGGGCUUCUCAAACUUUAAUAUGGAUGCAAAUUAUCUGGUGAUCUCGGUAAAAUAUGGAUUUCCUUUCCAUAGGUCUGAGACAGAACCCGCAUUUCUAUCAGGUUCCUGGUGAUGUUGCUAAUGCUGGUCCCAUGCACACUUUGAUUCAGCAAGAGGUUAGGAUUCUAUUUACCGCCUCUCUACCCCUAGCUGGGAGCCCUGGUGGCGAAGUGGUUAAGAGGUACAGCUGCUAACCAAAGGCAUGGCAGUUCUAAUCCACCAGCUGAUCCUUGGAAACCCUUUGGGGCAGUUUUUCGAAUUGGCUGUAUGGCAAUGGUUUGGUUGGUUACCCCCAGCUGGGCUAUGUCAUUUCAUCAAAACAACGUGGCAGGAGCGAGGGCCAAUUAGUGACCUCUGGAAUCAUCCAUCGUUAGAGCAGUUUCUUGCAGUUACAUUAAUGUCUCCUCCCUGUAGUUUCCCAUCGUGCAUGAAGCUCAUUUGCAACAAGAUACAGCAGGCAAGCAGGCAAAGGGGCUUUGGCUCUUUUCCCCCCUGCAAGGUGAUGUUCGAAUAGGAAGUUUUAUGGGAUGGUGAUGGCCUUGAUGAUUCUGAUGGGGGGGGGGCAGCGGGGCUGGGGGGGCCAGGGUGGUGGGGGUGGGGUGAGAUACUUGGCCAUAUCUUGGUCUUUCUUUUUCUUCCCCCAGGCUUGUGGGAGGAUGAGGAGAAAGCUGGGAGAAAAUAACUAGGCAGAGUUUUGCAGAGGAGGGGCAUUAGUUUUCACUUCCUCUGCUACGAAAUAUCCCACACCUUUUACAAGUAUUUAUAGGACAAUUUCCCUUUUCAGAGUGCCCCAGUGUGGGGGGUGGCAAAGAAGAUGGGUGGAGGGAGGAAGAAGUGGUGCUUCCUGCGUGUGAGAAUUGGAAGGUUUUCCCUGAGGGCUCAUUUCAGGUGGGGGCCCCUCACCCGUAAGAGGAGUUGGGCUAGACUGAGAAUGUUAAACUAGAGGUGCAUAGUUUAUACCAUUAACUCUCUGCACUUGUAAGCAAUGUUUGGGGAGUGUGCAGAUUUUUCUAGAGAGAGAGUGCAUAGAUUCCAACAGAUUCUUAGGAGGACCAUGUUUACAAAAGGUUCUUCAACACUAUUUCCAGUCAGGACCAUCCUCAAGUCCCACCACAGGUGAUAUUUGGAACGCUAGGCUUUUAGAAGCAGCAGACAUCAGGUUCAGGCAAAGGGUUUAGGGGGACCAGGGCAGCCACUUAAAAUCAUUUUCUUCCAGAGAUAGAAGGAACUCAGCUGUCAACACCCCCAUUUUGCAGACAGAAAGCUGAGGUACAGUCAAUCUCUGUGACUCCCCCUAAACCACCGAGUUAGACACUGAGCCUAGACUAGACCCUAAACUUCCUGACACAGAAAGCAGGUCCUCACUGGGGGAAAGUCCCUUGAACGUGGCAGUGGCUAGCUCUGGAUGUGCGAGACAUUUGUGGUCACAGCGCUGGGAGCCCAGCUGGUGAUUUCCAGCUUGCUGAACGUCAAAAUCGAGGCCGCUUCUCACAGAAGCCUCACUGGUCAGACCAAACCAAGCCAUCAACCUGUCAAGCAGGCGAAGGAAGCCUCCGGGUGCCCGCCCCUGCCUGCGCGGGACACUUGACUCCGGAAAGCUCCGCCCACGCGUCAGGGCAGGGCCGCCGCCUCCGCCCUGCAACCAGUGUGGGGCCUGAUCAGCGUCUGUAGCCUUUGCCCAACUCUGCUGCCGCCUCGGUUUUUUCACGGUGUUGGAUGGAACCAGCUUGGCAGCCUGCCUGGGCUGAGUGUGACUGUCGGUGUUCCAGGUCAGCCUUUGACCCUAGCGGUGGAUUAGGCAGAACUCAGCGUAACUCUAAGACAUUGUCUCCUCUCUAGUCUUUUUGGGUCUCCCUCCACUUGUUUUUCUAUUUUUCUACACAGCUGUCAUCCCCUGACCUUAGCUCCUCUCUAGAUCCAAUCAGUGGUUAUGUUUGUUGCUCUGCAGAAUCCUGUUUUGCAGGAACAAAAGUGAACCCCAGUCCUGAGUGUCUGCUGUUUGUUGUCCCCCCCCCCCCCCAUUCCUCCAUUCACAAGUAUCAGAGCACUUUCUGUCUGGGCUUUGAACACAACCUACUAGCAUGGCCUCUAUCCUCAGGAGCCGACAGUCCCCUGAGGAAGUGAAAGUGAUGUUUAACCUGUGAUUCAAGGCGGGCAUAGGAGUUUGCUAGGUGAAGUGAGGGGCUAAGGAGAGGGGUGAACAUGGUAGGCAGAGGAACAAAGGCUGGUGAGAGACAGCGUGGCACUUUGGUAAGACCUCAGAGAAGGCUGGGUAGCUGGUGCAGGUAAAGAGACGGGGCAAGUAGCAUGCGAUGAGCUGGGAAGAGGAAGGAGGGGACUUGUAGCCAAAGAAAGGACUAUAGACUUCCUAUCAAGACUUUGGAGGACUUUAAACAUGGCAAGGAAAGUGAGGCCCCUGGGUGGUGCAAGGAACCCUGGCCACUCAGUGGUUGAAAGCUCGGCUGCUAAUCAAAAGGUCAGCCCUUGGAGUCCACCAGCUGAUGCUUGGAAACCGUAUGGGGCAGUUCU